AAAAAAAGUACUGUUAUUGCUUUCAGAGAGAAAGGGAGAGAUUCCUCUAUGAAUUUAAUACAAAAUAAAAAUAAAUAAAAAAUAAUUUUUCUUUAAAGGACCAACUAUGGGAAUGUGACCCUUUCCCUGUCUCCCUCUCUCUCUCUCUCUCUCUCUCUCUCUCUCUCUCUCUCACACACACACACACACACACACACACACGCUCUCUCCCGGCUUCUCUCUCCAUCCAUCCCACCUGUGCUCUUGCAAAAUCAAAGCACAGACUGUCCCAGGCUCUCUGAACAGAUAGGAUUCCCCAUUUGGGGUCAUUUGACCAAAACCUGUCCCUCCCCUACCACCCAUCCUUUAGUAGACCCUAGAUCACCGUUACCUCUUUAAAUUAAAAAGAAAAAAAAAGGGGGGGGAAAGAAAUAGAUCUCUUCCAACGUCUUUAUUAUUAUAAUUAUCAUAAUCUUCAAUUUCCAAAAAUAUAAAUAGGUGCGCGGAACCCUGGUGCCUGCACGGUCCCGGGGGAGGGGCGGGGGCGGGAGGGGGAGGGGCGGGGGCGCUCCCACCGGGAAGGAGGAGGUGCUCCCACCCAGUCCUGCCGAGAGAGAUGGCACCUGCUAGGGUGGCAGGCCGGGUGAGGGGACGCCGGGCGGGCGGGAGGACGGACGGACGGACGGAAGAGAGGGACCCCUGGAGG